rnacentral:tRNA from 1 species
GCGGAUAUGGCGGAAUUGGUAGACGCAAUGGGUUUAGGUUCCAUCGGGUAAAACCAUACGGGUUCAAGUCCUGUUAUCCGU